rnacentral:rRNA from 1 species
AGCGAACGCUGGCGGCAGGCCUAACACAUGCAAGUCGAACGAACCUUUCGGGGUUAGUGGCGGACGGGUGAGUAACACGUGGGAACGUGCCUUUAGGUACGGAAUAACUCAGGGAAACGUGUGCUAAUACCGAACGUGCCCUUCGGGGGAAAGAUUAAUCGCCUUUAGUGCGGCCCGCGUCUGAUUAGCUAGUUGGGUGAGGUAAUGGCUCACCAAGGCGACGAUCGGUAGCUGGUCUGAGAGGAUGAUCAGCCACAUUGGGACUGAGACACGGCCCAGACUCCUACGGGAGGCGGCAGUGGGUAAUCUUGCGCAAUGGGCGAAGGCCUGACGCAGCCAUGCCGCGUGAAUGAUGAAGGUCUUAGGAUUGUAAAAUUCUUUCACCGGGGACGAUAAUGACGGUACCCGGAGAAGAAGCCCCGGCUAACUUCGUG